rnacentral:rRNA from 1 species
UACAGAGGUGGCAAGCGUUGUUCGGAAUUACUGGGCGUAAAGGGCGCGUAGGCGGCCAUCUAAGUCAGACGUGAAAUCCCCCGGCUUAACCUGGGAACUGCGUCUGAUACUGGAAGGCUUGAGUAUGGGAGAGGGAUGUAGAAUUCCAGGUGUAGCGGUGAAAUGCGUAGAUAUCUGGAGGAAUACCGGUGGCGAAGGCGGCAUCCUGGACCAUUACUGACGCUGAGGCGCGAAAGCUAGGGGGAGCAAAACGGGG